ACCCCCGCCGCACGUGGGCAGGGCGCCGAGCACUGGCCGGUCGGCGAGAAGGGGCGCGCCGUCCACCUGCAGACGCCCAGCACCCGGCCCGCGGCUGGACGGGCGCGGUGGGGCGUGGUUAAACCACACCUGCGGGCAACCGAGAACGGAACUCUGCGUCCCUUGCCCACGCGCGCGACUCGGGAACUGGCCGGGGUAGGGACAGCGUUUCCAAAGUGUUAAAAUGUCUUCAAACUUUUACGUUUUCACGUUGUCUUUUCAUGGUAUCGGGUGUAAUGUUCAAAAACAAAAACAAAAACCUCAAUUUCGAGUUUUGCACCAACAUAUGUUUAUUGCGUGUAUUGCUCUAAGAGUCAGAAAGUUUUUAAUUCAUCAAGGAAGUUUUUUAAAAAGGAGGGCUCGUCCGGGAUUUGAACCCGGGACCUCUCGCACCCUAAGCGAGAAUCAUACCCCUAGACCAACGAGCCGAUGGAAUAUUCUGCUGCCUGCUAUACUAAAGGAAGGGAAAGAUACUUAUUCUGGCGCCCCCAAGUGGUUAUUUACAUAUUGAGUCUCCAGCGUUCGCAUGGUUUUGUGUUCUAGAGUUUUCUAUUUUCCUUUUUAACUUUUUAUCUUCGAGAAUCCGACACAGAAGAAAACAAACGGUCUCGUUACCAGCGUAAUAUUUACCUCUUAUUUCGAAAACCGCUCCAUCAGAGUAUCUUACUUGCCUCUCACAACGAUGCAGGAAGACCGACAGUAACAAAACUUCAGAAUAUCGAUUGCCCAACCCACAGUGAUAAAUAUGUGUGUCCUGGUGAAGGAACACCUGUGACCUGUGACCCUCUGCAAGGGACAUUCUUCCCUUGUAGGUUUCUGUGAAGCAGAAGUGGGGUCCAGGGAGGCAGAGGAUCCUAAGGAGCAUUUUCUCCCCGUCGCAGUGAAUGAAGAAGCCUGGCGACAUGUACUUCUACAGUCAACCUCUCUCUAAGGACCCCCAUUAUUCUUGUUACCCCAAUUUGGUGCCCAGAAAUAUCAUAGACACUAGAACUCUAAUUUUCAGUAUUUUCUAGCAAAAAAUGCAACCCUUCUGAAUUAAGCCGUCCUGGCAAUAGAAAUGUCAAUGAAAUUGAUUCAGCUUCAGGCAAA